UACGUAGGGUGCAAGCGUUGUCCGGAAUUAUUGGGCGUAAAGAGCUCGUAGGCGGCCUGUCGCGUCGACUGUGAAAACCCAGGGCUCAACCCUGGGCCUGCAGUCGAUACGGGCAGGCUAGAGUGCAGUAGGGGAGACUGGAAUUCCUGGUGUAGCGGUGAAAUGCGCAGAUAUCAGGAGGAACACCGAUGGCGAAGGCGGGUCUCUGGGCUGUAACUGACGCUGAGGAGCGAAAGCGUGGGGAGCGAACAGG
rnacentral:rRNA from 1 species